rnacentral:misc_RNA from 1 species
AGAGUGUUGAUAGUACAAUUG